rnacentral:rRNA from 1 species
CUACACAUGCAGUCGAGGGUAUAGUUCUUCGGACUAGAGACCGGCGCACGGGUGCGUAACGCGUAUGCAAUCUACCUUUUGCAGAGGGAUAGCCCAGAGAAAUUUGGAUUAAUACCUCAUAGUAUGUGAGAAUGGCAUCAUUUUCACAUUAAAGUCACAACGGCCAAAGAUGAGCAUGCGUCCCAUUAGCUAGUUGGUAAGGUAACGGCUUACCAAGGCAACGAUGGGUAGGGGUCCUGAGAGGGAGAUCCCCCACACUGGUACUGAGACACGGACCAGACUCCUACGGGAGGCAGCAGUGAGGAAUAUUGGACAAUGGGCGCAAGCCUGAUCCAGCCAUGCCGCGUGCAGGAUGACGGUCCUAUGGAUUGUAAACUGCUUUUGUACAGGAAGAAACACUGGUUCGUGAACCAGCUUGACGGUACUGUAAGAAUAAGGAUCGGCUAACUCCGUGCCAGCAGCCGCGGUAAUACGGAGGAUCCAAGCGUUAUCCGGAAUCAUUGGGUUUAAAGGGUCCGUAGGCGGUUUAGUAAGUCAGUGGUGA